GUCUGCGGCGCCGCCCGGGUGGGGGCUUGCACGCCAAAGUUCCCGGCGGCGGCGAGCGCGCCCGACGCGCGGGGGACCCGGGGCCGCUCGGGGCUGGCUAGGGUGGGGGCAGAGGCGCCCUCCGGGGUCGGGGGAUCCCGGCCGGGUCAGACCGGUGUGCGGGGUGACACUGCGCCCCCAGGGGGCCGGAGGGACCGGCGCCGCUGGCGAGGUGGUGGGGGCUGUGCCAAGGCCGGCAAGUCCACGCGGCCCACUGCAGGCCAACCGGUCGCCGCCCCCACUCCCGCCACGCCACCCCUCGGCCGGGAGGGUGUCAGCGGAGAUGUCACGGGCGGCGAUUAUUCGCUGGUGCGCGCGGUCGUGCAGCCGCCACUGACGGGGCGGGCGGGUGCUGGGGGGGCCGCCGCCUCCGGGGAGACCGCCCAGAGCUGUGCCGUCAGCGCCGCAGCCCGCGCCCCGCGCACACGCGUCGCCGCCUCGCGCGCCCCCCGCAGCAAAGUUCGGUUCAACUUUGCGGCGGGCCCUGACGCCCCGUCCCUUCUACCCCCCACCAGGUUCUCGGCGGCCGCGGCGAGCCAGGCGGCGGCCCGAGUGCGGCCCCGGAGCCCCGCGCGGCGGCGGGCGGCGGGCGGCGGGCGGCGACAGCGACAGCGGCGGGGGGACGCGGUGCGCCCGCGUGGGGGCGUCGGCCCGCGCCCGCGAGUGGGCGCCCGCGGGGACCCCGCGGGCGGCGGGAGCCCGGCGCUCGCCUCCUGGAAGCCGCGGGUCGGCGCUCGCCCCCGAGGGCGCCCGGGCCUCCGCGCUCCAGCAGAGACUGCGCUUCCAUUGAUUGGCCCGGUCGGGCGAGCGGCCGGGGCCGGGGCCGGGGCCGGGGCCGGGGCCGGGGCCGGCGCGUGUGCCCCGAGCGAGCGCGUGCGGAAGGCGGGCGGCCAGGAAGUCGGACUUGUGCACCGCGCAGGAGGACGAGCCUUCCUCAUUUAUGUGUCUGCUGGCAUUCGCCUUCUUCGCCCCAAGACUUCAGGGAGCGUCUCCGGGCUGCGUUCUCCGCGUGUGAGGCACGGAAGGGCUGGAUGUCCGAACAACAUGAUUAUCCAUUAA
rnacentral:lncRNA from 12 species